rnacentral:rRNA from 1 species
GGGAAUCUACCCAUCCCUACGGGAUAGCUCCGGGAAACUGGAAUUAAUACCGUAUACGUCCUUCGGGAGAAAGAUUUAUCGGGGAUGGAUGAGCCCGCGUUGGAUUAGCUAGUUGGUGGGGUAAAGGCCUACCAAGGCGACGAUCCAUAGCUGGUCUAAGAGGAUGAUCAGCCACAUUGGGACUGAGACACGGCCCAAACUCCUACGGGAGGCAGCAGUGGGGAAUAUUGGACAAUGGGCGCAAGCCUGGUCCAGCCAUGCCGCGUGAGUGAUGAAGGCCCUAGGGUUGUAAAGCUCUUUCAGUGGGGACGAUAAUGACGGUACCCACAGAAGAAGCCCCGGCUAACUUCGUGCCAGCAGCCGCGGUAAUACGAAGGGGGCUAGCGUUGUUCGGAAUUACUGGGCGUAAAGCGCACGUAGGCGGAAAUUUAAGUCAGGGGUGAAAUCCCGGGGCUCAACCCCGGAACUGCCUUUGAUACCGGGUUUCUUGAGUUCGGAAGAGGUAAGUGGAAUUGCGAGU